rnacentral:RNase_P_RNA from 1 species
UUGGGUAGCUGGAUGGUUGCUCCGGNGCGGGUGCGUCGGAGAGGAAAGUCCGGGCUCCAUAGAGACACGGUGCCGGGUAACACCCGGCGGGGGUAACCCUAGGGAAAGUGCCGCAGAAAAUAUACCGCCACUGGUUCUUGUAACCGUGUGGUAAGGGUGAAAAGGUGUGGUAAGAGCGCACCGCGUCAACCGGUAACGGGGACGGCAAGGUAAACCCCACCGGGAGCAAGACCAAGUUGGAGCGGCGUGAUCUGUCUACCGUGUAGUCAGAUCUGGUCAGGUCUCUGGGGCCGCUGCUCGGGUGGGUCGCUUGAGGCGUCUGGUAACAGACGUCCUAGAUGAAUAACCGUCCAUCGCUCGCGCGAGGACAGAACCCGGCUUACAGGCUACCCAAUUCC